AUGCUCUCCCCGAAUUCCACCUACGUCGCUUACCUAGUGUUCAAACUAUCGGAUCGAGCCUGCGGGCUUGACUUCCCAUUCCAGGAGGUGUUGCUCAAUGUUGGAGGAAGCGUAUCAACCCGACGAGCUUGCCUCCAUGGCUACUAUGACGAUGGUGCCGGUGGUGUAGUGCCUCGGAAUCAUGUCGAGGACCGUACUAAUUGGUUGGAAGUGUAUCACACAGUUGUUAUUGAAGACGAUGUGGUUCUUCCCCACAUAAGAGCAGAUGGUUGGAUGGAGCUGCAGCUAGCGGAUGGAUUCUACAAUCAUGGAGAUGGCAACGACGAGGUGCGCGUUGUGUUGGCCGAGACAAAGUACCUGUAUCCGAAGGGAAGCCUCAAGCCUUUGGGACAAGUGUAUAGGCAUGGUGUCACAAAAGUGGCUGGCCUCCUCACCACACAAGGAGACAGCUGGGAUGUAGGGAACAUGGAUGACAUGUUCACAGCCGAUGACACAUGCGAUAUUAAGCAGAUUGUGGUGGGCGGCCCGGGUGUAAGCGACUAUCUUGCUAGGAACUUCAGAAAGAAUGCCGCCUGUGAGAUCGACCGUCUGUCCGAGGACCUCAUGGUGGACGUGAUCUCACGCACGUCGCCGGCGGACGCCUUUCGCGCCGCCGCCGUGUCCCGGGCCUUCCAUGCUGCCGCCGACUCGGACAGCGUCUGGUCCCGUCUCCUCCCGCAGUUCGCCAGGAGAGAGCUCCCCCGCAAGCCGCCGUCGACCAAGAAGGGGAUGUUUCGGCGCCUCUCCACAGAGCCAGCCCUCCUCCCGGGCAAGUACGUGCGCAUGCAGCUGGACAAGGCCAUCGGCGUCAAGUGCUUCACGUUUUCGGCCAGCGCGCUACAGAAGUUCUCACAAGCCGGUGACAUGGGCUAUGGCAUACUGAAGAUACGUGCAAAGAUACAGAGAAACAUGCUCUCUCAAUACACAACCUACGUGGCAUACAUGGUGUUCAAGCUAGGACCUAGAUUUCAUGGGUUUGAUUUCCCGUUUCAAGAAGCUUCAUUCGGCGUCGUUGGGAGUGAAUCGGUGCGGCAGGUUUGCCUGCAAGGCUAUGUCGAGGACAGUGACGGAGCUGAUGACCCGCCUCGGAAACAUAUUAUGCCAAGUUAUUAUCGUGAUUGUGAUGCGGUUCCUCCCGGAGAGGACAUUGUUUUCCCUCGUAAGAAAGCCGACGAUUGGAUGCAGGUGGAGCUUGGUGAGUUCCAUAAUGAGGGAGGUGACGGCGAGGUCUCCAUCAGCUUGACCGAGACGACAACAGCCAAGAGUGGCCUUAUUGUCUGGGGCAUUGUGAUAAGAAUUCCUCCAAGAGAGGACAUUGUUUUGCCUCGUAAAAUGGCCAACAUUUGGACGGAGGUCGAACUUGGAGAGUUCGAUAACGAGGAAGGAGACCGUGGCAGCGAGGUGUCCAUCAGCUUGAUGGAGAAGACGGGAGGCAACAAGGGUGGUCUUAUAGUAUGGGGCAUUGAGCUGAGAAGAAGCAAUUCGCAGAUCCAUCCCAUCAUGGAAGGAGACGGCAACGAGAUCUUGCGUCUGCCGGAGGAGCUCCUCGCGUUGAUCCUCUCCCGCACAUCGCCGCCGGACGCCGGACGUUGUGCCGCCGUAUCCCGGGCCUUCCUUGCCGCCGCGGACUCCGACGCCGUCUGGUCCUGCUUCCUGCCCCGCGACCUCCCACGGCUCGUUGAAGGUGUGCUCCCCCACGCACCGCUGUCCAAGAAGGGCUUGUUCCGAUGCCUCUCUGAUCAACCGACGCUCCUCCCAGGCAACCUCGUGGCGCCAUACCCAUACCCUUGCAUUUGCGACAGCUUCCGUGAAGCAGCUCAACUUCGGGGAGUCUGGUGGCUGUUAAUCCAUGGCGAAAUACAUAGCACAAUGCUCAGCCCAAACUCCAAGUAUGCUGCUUACAUGGUGUUCAAGCUAGCCGAUGAGUUCAUCAAGCUCGAUUUCCCGUUUCAAGAGGCAUCAAUCAGUGUUGGAGGGAAUGACUAUUCAACACGCCAAGUUUGCCUCCAAGCCUACAUGGAGGACGGGGAUGACGGGGUACCUCGCAAGCAUAUCUUGAGGUGCAGUUGGGAAGACUAUAUGCCUCAUACGAACUGUGAUGCAAUUCCUCUCACAGAUGAUGUUAUGCUCCCUCGAAAAAGGGCUGACGGCUGGAUGGAGGUCGAGCUAGGCGAGUUCUACAAUGGAGAAGGCUGCGGCAGCGAGGUGUCUGUGUGCCUAAAGGAAACCAAGGGAGGAGUUUGGAAGACUGGUCUUAUUGUGUGGGGUAUUGAGAUUAGAACUAAGCAAUGA
rnacentral:rRNA from 1 species